rnacentral:rRNA from 1 species
GACGAACGCUGGCGGCGUGCUUAACACAUGCAAGUCGAACGGAAAGGCCCUGCUUUUGUGGGGUGCUCGAGUGGCGAACGGGUGAGUAACACGUGAGUAACCUGCCCUUGACUUUGGGAUAACUUCAGGAAACUGGGGCUAAUACCGGAUAGGAGCUCCUGCUGCAUGGUGGGGGUUGGAAAGUUUCGGCGGUUGGGGAUGGACUCGCGGCUUAUCAGCUUGUUGGUGGGGUAGUGGCUUACCAAGGCUUUGACGGGUAGCCGGCCUGAGAGGGUGACCGGCCACAUUGGAACUGAGAUACGGCCCAGACUCCCACGGGAGGCAGCAGUGGGGAAUAUUGCACAAUGGGCGGAAGCCUGAUGCAGCAACGCCGCGUGCGGGAUGACGGCCUUCGGGUUGUAAACCGCUUUCGCCUGUGACGAAGCGUGAGUGACGGUAAUGGGUAAAGAAGCACCGGCUAACUACGUG